UACGGAGGGUGCAAGCGUUAUCCGGAUUCACUGGGUUUAAAGGGAGCGUAGGAGGGCAGGUAAGUCAGUGGUGAAAUCUUUGGGCUUAACCCGAAAACUGCCAUUGAUACUAUCUGUCUUGAAUAUGGUGGAGGCUAGCGGAAUAUGUCAUGUAGCGGUGAAAUGCUUAGAUAUGACAUAGAACACCAAUUGCGAAGGCAGCUGGCUACGCAUAUAUUGACACUGAGGCACGAAAGCGUGGGGAUCAAACAGG
rnacentral:rRNA from 1 species